rnacentral:rRNA from 1 species
AUGUUUCGGCAGGAAGCCGGCGCCGAGCUGGUGGCGAUGGAGCGCGACCUCACUAUUUGUGCAGUAGCGAUCGCCGAGUAUACCAACACUAGUGUCUUCGUCCCUGAGCUGAACGACAAUGGCGCCGAGGCGCCGCCAGAAUGGUUCGGACUGAACCCGGAUGAUGGCGAAGACUCGGCAGAGGAGAUCGCCUCCAGCGACGAAGGGGAAGACGAGGAAGACGGCGCGCCGGAGGUCGGAGCGGGCGGCCAGCCUCAACUCGACCAUGCCUCCAACACCGAGCUGCGUGCAAGCACGCCGACUGUUGCUGAAAGCGGCCAAGCUGAAACUCGCCAGCUGGCCACUCCACCAGCCGGCACCCCUGGCUCCACCAACCUGCCGGACUCGCCUGCUGCUCCUUUGGUCUAG